rnacentral:rRNA from 1 species
GCAGUCGAACGGCAGCAUGAUCUAGCUUGCUAGAUUGAUGGCGAGUGGCGAACGGGUGAGUAAUACAUCGGAACGUGCCCUGUAGUGGGGGAUAACUAGUCGAAAGAUUAGCUAAUACCGCAUACGACCUGAGGGUGAAAGUGGGGGACCGCAAGGCCUCAUGCUAUAGGAGCGGCCGAUGUCUGAUUAGCUAGUUGGUGAGGUAAAGGCUCACCAAGGCGACGAUCAGUAGCUGGUCUGAGAGGACGAUCAGCCACACUGGGACUGAGACACGGCCCAGACUCCUACGGGAGGCAGCAGUGGGGAAUUUUGGACAAUGGGGGCAACCCUGAUCCAGCAAUGCCGCGUGUGUGAAGAAGGCCUUCGGGUUGUAAAGCACUUUNGUCCGGAAAGAAAUCGCACUUACUAAUAUUAGGUGUGGAUGACGGUACCGGAAGAAUAAGGACCGGCUAACUACGUGCCAGCAGCCGCGGUAAUACGUAGGGUCCAAGCGUUAAUCGGAAUUACUGGGCGUAAAGCGUGCGCAGGCGGUUGUGCAAGACCGAUGUGAAAUCCCCGGGCUUAACCUGGGAAUUGCAUUGGUGACUGCACGGCUAGAGUGUGUCAGAGGGGGGUAGAAUUCCACGUGUAGCAGUGAAAUGCGUAGAGAUGUGGAGGAAUACCGAUGGCGAAGGCAGCCCCCUGGGAUAACACUGACGCUCAUGCACGAAAGCGUGGGGAGCAAACAGGAUUAGAUACCCUGGUAGUCCACGCCCUANACGAUGUCAACUAGUUGUUGGGGAUUCAUUUCCUUAGUAACGUAGCUAACGCGUGAAGUUGACCGCCUGGGGAGUACGGUCGCAAGAUUAAAACUCAAAGGAAUUGACGGGGACCCGCACAAGCGGUGGAUGAUGUGGAUUAAUUCGAUGCAACGCGAAAAACCUUACCUACCCUUGACAUGCCACUAACGAAGCAGAGAUGCAUUAGGUGCUCGAAAGAGAAAGUGGACACAGGUGCUGCAUGGCUGUCGUCAGCUCGUGUCGUGAGAUGUUGGGUUAAGUCCCGCAACGAGCGCAACCCUUGUCUCUAGUUGCUACGAAAGGGCACUCUAGAGAGACUGCCGGUGACAAACCGGAGGAAGGUGGGGAUGACGUCAAGUCCUCAUGGCCCUUAUGGGUAGGGCUUCACACGUCAUACAAUGGUGCAUACAGAGGGUUGCCAAGCCGCGAGGUGGAGCUAAUCCCAGAAAAUGCAUCGUAGUCCGGAUCGUAGCCUGCAACUCGACUACGGAAGCUGGAAUCGCUA